rnacentral:sRNA from 1 species
CGUAGCGAUCGGAAAUCGAUCCAUCGUGACAAGAUGGAUCGGCCGCC